UUUUCGCCGGAGUCUCGGCUCUGUCGCGAACAAUAGAUGACGUCACUGCUACGUCACUCACGUGUGACGUAACUUGAAGACUUUUUUUACCUAAGUUAGUUUUGACUUUUCCCCGUGUCGCCACGGAGUGCCUAGUAUGUCACGUGCUUUAUGAAUUUCGUCCCUAGUGUCAUCUUCGCUACUCACGGGGCAACGACGGCAUGCCGUGGGUAAUUGGAAUACAAUGCCGCACGAAAAUCUACAAAUACAGGUGCUCGCAGCUAUGUCCGUUCUUGCUCACUCCGCUUCGGAAUCGCGCAGGUCAACUGUGAUCGAGCUGUCACUGACGACGAAAGCCGUCGUUGCGAGGUUUGCAGUAUGUUGUUCACCAAGAGGAAAAACAUGCUUCGGCAUGUCAGGGACGUCCAUAAAGUAGGCCCAGAAAUCAAUAAGCGCAUGAAAUGCGACGUUUGUGGCGUUGGCCUGUCUUCACUGGAAGAGUAUGUGGAGCACCAUAUCGCAACGCACGAAUUCGCCGCCGAGUACGUGCAGCGCACGUUCCUCAACGAUAAAGAAUUCAGUGAAUGGAAAGCUCAGGAAGAGGCCAACGAAAACUGUUGGUUUGUAAGUCGCACGGCUCCCAAAAAAUUAGCCAGUUGUUAAACAAGGACCCACUACAACUGUAAUAGAUCAGGAGUGGCUAGACCAAAAGAAGGUCAUGGUAAACGUCGAGAGAAAAGUCAGGGGACCUGCAAGUCCGAUAAGAUAUGUCUUUCAUUUCUUACUGUGACGAAGCAGGAGAACACUCAGAGUCCAGCAGCUGAAGAUAUCGCCAUAAAUGUUAGGUACCAAAGGAAGCACUACGGCCAUCAAGCAGAAAUUCAGCACUUGAAAAUGACUGACGAAGUAAAGGCCAACAUAGCGGAGCACCUGGAGCGCGGUGUGCCCAUGAAAACCGUAUUGAAAAAUAUAAGAACAUCUGUUGCUAGCAAGCUAAGCCCAGUACAUUUGGCAGAGCGCGUAACUCUGCAUAACAUCAAGCGGCAGUUUCACAUUGCUGCUCCUGAACAGUGUCACCCUAAUGAUGCUGUUAGCGUAGAUAUGUGGGUGCAAGCAAUGCGAGACAAAGAUGAAACGCUUGUCCGCCUGUAUAAGGCACAGGGUGCAGUGGACCCAAAUGGUACUUUUGGUGCAACAGAUUUUGCCCUUCCUUUGAUGACAGAGCCACAAAAAGAGCUGUUAGAAGAAUUGGGCACGGGCACUGUGUGUCUUGACUCAACACAUGGAACUACAGGGUACCAGUUUGAGCUGACCACUCUUCUAGUGCUAGAUGAAGUGGGAUCAGGUAUACCUAUAACCUAUUUCAUCUGCAACAGGAUUAAUGAGGAAAACUUGGCAGCUUUUUUCAGGUCUCUUGAGUGUGCCAUCAACAAAAAAGUGGCUGCUAAGACAUUUAUGUCUGAUGACGCCGCACAAUUUUACAAGGCAUGGUCGUCAGUUAUGGUUGUCCCUCAGCAGAAACUUCUCUGCGCCUGGCAUGUGGAUAGGAA